rnacentral:miRNA from 1 species
CCAGGGCCCUGGCUUCUUCUCU